rnacentral:rRNA from 1 species
AUUGAACGCUGGCGGCAGGCCUAACACAUGCAAGUCGAGCGAGCGGCGGACGGGUGAGUAAUGUCUGGGAAACUGCCUGUUGCAUGGGGAUAACUACUGGAAACGGUAGCUACUACCGCAUACCAUCAGCUUUGUCCAGUUGGGAUUAGAUGGUAGGUGGGGUAACGGCUCACCUAGUCGACGAUCCCUAGCUGGUCUGAGCGGUUGACCAGCCACACUGGAACUGAGACACGGGCCAGACUCCUACGGGAGGCAGCAGUGGGGAAUAUUCCACAAUGGGCGCAAGCCUGAUGCAGCCAGGCCGCGUGAGUGAAGAAGGGCUUCGGGUUGUAAAGCACUUUCGGCGGGGAGGCGUUACCCGCAGAAGAAGCACCGGCUAACUCCGUGCCAGCCGCCGCGGUAAUAC